GUAGGGAAUCUUCCGCAAUGGACGAAAGUCUGACGGAGCAACGCCGCGUGAACGAUGAAGGCCUUCGGGUCGUAAAGUUCUGUUGUUAGGGAAGAACAAGUACCGUUCAAAUAGGGCGGUACCUUGACGGUACCUAACCAGAAAGCCACGGCUAACUACGUGCCAGCAGCCGCGGUAAUACGUAGGUGGCAAGCGUUGUCCGGAAUUAUUGGGCGUAAAGCGCGCGCAGGCGGUCUCUUAAGUCUGAUGUGAAAUCUCGCGGCUCAACCGCGAGCGGCCAUUGGAAACUGGGAGGCUUGAGUGCAGAAGAGGAGAGUGGAAUUCCAUGUGUAGCGGUGAAAUGCGUAGAUAUAUGGAGGAACACCAGUGGCGAAGGCGACUCUCUGGUCUGUAACUGACGCUGAGGCGCGAAAGCGUGGGGAGCAAACAGG
rnacentral:rRNA from 1 species